rnacentral:rRNA from 1 species
GACGAACGCUGGCGGCGUGCUUAACACAUGCAAGUCGAACGGUAAGGCCCUUCGGGGUACACGAGUGGCGAACGGGUGAGUAACACGUGGGUGAUCUGCCCUGCACUUCGGGAUAAGCCUGGGAAACUGGGUCUAAUACCGGAUAGGACUCCUGGCUUCAUGGUUGGGGGUGGAAAGCUUUUGCGGUGUGGGAGGGGCCCGCGGCCUAUCAGCUUGUUGGUGGGGUAAUGGCCUACCAAGGCGACGACGGGUAGCCGGCCUGAGAGGGCGACAGGUAACACGGGGACUGAGAUACGGCCCAGACUCCUACGGGAGGCAGCAGUGGGGAAUGUUGCACAAUGGGCGCAAGCCUGAUGCAGCGACGCCGCGGGAGGGAUGACGGCCUUCGGGUUGUAAACCGCUUUCAGCAGGGAAGAAGCGAAAGUGACGGUACCUGCAGAAGAAGCACCGGCUAACUACGUGCCAGCCGCCGCAGUAA